UACGGAGGAGCUAGCGUUGUUCGGAAUUACUGGGCGUAAAGCGCACGUAGGCGGCUUUGUAAGUUAGAGGUGAAAGCCCGGGGCUCAACUCCGGAACUGCCUUUAAAACUGCAUCGCUUGAAUCCAGGAGAGGUGAGUGGAAUUCCGAGUGUAGAGGUGAAAUUCGUAGAUAUUCGGAAGAACACCAGUGGCGAAGGCGGCUCACUGGACUGGUAUUGACGCUGAGGUGCGAAAGCGUGGGGAGCAAACAGG
rnacentral:rRNA from 1 species